rnacentral:rRNA from 1 species
UACGAGGGGUGCAAGCGUUGCUCGGAAUUAUUGGGCGUAAAGGGUAGGUAGGUGGUCUCAUUUGUCAGGGGUGAAAGCCUUGGACGUCUAACCCAAGAAGUGCCCUUGAAACGGUGAGACUAGAGUCUUGGAGAGGGUCGUGGAAUUCCCAGUGUAGCGGUGAAAUGCGUAGAGAUUGGGAGGAACACCAGAGGCGAAGGCGGCGACCUGGACAAGCACUGACACUCAACUACGAAAGCGUGGGUAGCAAACAGG